CGCAGCCCGCCUCCGCCUCUCCCCGUGGCACCAGCGGCAGCGCCCGCGGAGCCGCUCGAGUGGGGUGAACGGGGGGGACCGGACGGGCGGGCGACUCAUUCCGUUUGGGUCAUUCCGGAUCGGCGGCGGCACCCGAAGCUCGGCGAGCCGGCGGCGGAGUUGGGAGGCGGCUCCAGGCCAGAGUGCCAUCAGCGCCGGUGUAAAGCUGUUCCCGAGGCCGAGCUCCCAAAGGCUUUGCCAGCACUCCGGAUGUCUCGGGAACCAGGUGCUGUUUGUUCCAGGCAGAGAGAUGGCGCCUGUGAGCUGGAGGAGAGUAAAUCCUGUCCCAUUCCUGGAGCUGUGAAUGAGCCCCAGCAUCCCCAGGAGGGACCAGCAGCCGGGCUUCCACACUUGUCUGGGGUGCAAGAAGCCUCUUGGCAUCAGUAGGGGGAUGCCACUUGUGAGCGUGCAGUGAGUGCAGAUGUGGAGAAUGGAUCCUGCACCAGGGAUAGGAGUGUGAGGGAGCCCCUGAGUCCCCAGGGCACAUCAGCAGCCAAUAAAGAAGACAAAAGGAACCUCAGAAGAUUGCUGGGUCAGUGGUUCAGGCCCCAUCCCGUGGUCACGGCGCUGCUGAUUCUGCUGCUCCUGGUGCUGGUGCUGGCUUUGGGGGUGGCCUUGGCUGUGCAGUCAGCUGCAACACAGGUUCCAUUUACACCUGUGACUCUGCAGUGCUGUCCCUUUGGCUGGCUUGGGUACAAUGGGGUCUGCUACACCUUCUCAAGGGAUUACAGCACCUGGGAGCAGGGUCAGGAACGGUGCUCUGAGCUCGGGGCCUCCCUGGCCAUUCUGAAGGAUGAGGCCAUGGAUUUGCUCUUCCGCCUCCGCGGGAACGGCGAUUUCUGGCUCGGGCUGCGCAGACGGGGCGAGCGCCUGCAGUGGGAGGACGGCAGCAGCUACAGCUCCCGGGGAAUCCAGUGGAGAAGAAACCUGCUGCUCUAGGAAUCCAGUUGAAAAGGCUGCUGUGAUGUUCCAAACCUCAGAUUGUAUCCACGUAGGAAUUCUCGGCUUUCCCACCUGGGUGGAGCAUCUCACAAUGGGAUGAUGAAAUUUUUUCAGCCAUGCAGAGACAUUCACUUGCCCAUUAACAGCAUAUAUCUCCUGGAGGAAGGAUUGAUUGCUGAGGAGAUAAAGAAAACUGCUCAGUUAACAGAAGAUAACUGCUCCUCCUCUAACAGAUGGGACUAGAAUACCCCUAUUUCCAACCUAAGGCACCAGGCAGCCAGCGCUGGCUCUGCUCUUCCCUGCAGGUUUCCUGUCUUUGGCAGUUCCGAGUGUGUGUACCUGGCUGACGAGAGACUGAGGAGUGACAACUGCUCAAGUGAGCGGCCGUAUGUCUGCAGCAAGGCCCAAGGUCCCCUGUAACAGGGGCUGCAGAAAGGACCUUCUCCACGCUGGGCAGUGCCAGCUUCACCUCUGAGCCCAGCACUGGGCUGCCCUUCCUCAGCUGCACCCUGUGCCUUGCACUUCCUCUCAGGGUCACCUCAGUGCCUCUUCAUCCCCAGUGCCAGCGCUGGGCUGGGGCUGCAAAGGAAAAGUCUCUGCAAUCCAUCCUGCCACCGAUGCUGCCUGGAGUGAGGGCAUUGCCCUCAUUAUAUGUGAGAAACACCGCUCACUAUUUACACUUUUGAUAAAAGUUUAUUAAGGGCUAAAAUCCCACUCUGGGAUUCUUGGCUAUUUGCACAGGGUUACCUUAGACUCUGUUCUCUAUAUACUGUUACAUUGUAGAGCUACAUGCAUAUUUAUAUGAGUUUUUAAAAUUUUAAAGGUAACACUGAAUUUACAUCUUGUUUUGUUUAACUUUUUGCUUGUCUUCAGGCCAUCCUGUACCUUAAACUAAUGUAUUUAAUGUUUUCUUGUGGUUCUAUAUUUUUGUAUUUUCAUCCCCCUGUAGUGAGGCUCAAUAAAGUCUUUUUUUUUUUCCCCA